UAGAAAGGGAGGACACACCCCUCUCUGAGGGACAGGGGCACUGGUUGAGUGUUGCCAGGAUGUGGGCUGGGGAGGCCUCCUGGGAAGGGCAUUUGGUUGGAAGCAGAGACACCUGGCUUGCCUGAGAGGGUUGGGUGAGAUGGGAAUGAAGACUGGGAGGCUGACCAGAGCCAGCCAGCGCAUGUGGGGACCCAGGUGUGCAGACAGAGUCCACUCUGCGUGUGCACACUUAUACGUGGUUCACAGAGCUUCUCCCAUUUGAGUGACCUCACCCACUCCUCACAGGAUAGCUCUCCAAGGUGAGUCUCACUGUCACCCCGCAUAAGGAGACUGAUGCUCAGAAAGGUGGUCCACAGCCACUCAAAGUGUGGUCCACGGCCCGGUGCUGGUCUGCCAGAGAUUCGCCACUGUUUUUCAGCACAACAGGCCCAGAAAAUGAGAGUAAAUGUUUAGAAACUCUUACAGCAAUUGGACAUGGUUGUUUUCUGCCUGUUGAAUCUAUGAUUUAAAAGUUGGGCUUGUAUUUCAUGUAUCUGCUUUUCAUUUCAUUUUUAUUAUUUAUUUAUUUUAUUAUUUUUUUUUGAGACCAAGUCUCGCUCUGUCACCCAGGCUAGAGUGCAGUGUCACAAUCUCUGCUCACUGCAACCUCUGCCUCCCCGGUUCAAGCAAUUCUCCUGCCUCAGCCUCCCGAGUAGCUAGGAUUACAGGGGUGUAACACCACGC
rnacentral:lncRNA from 10 species